rnacentral:RNase_P_RNA from 1 species
AACGAUGAGCCGGCCGCCGCGCCCCGUUUUUGCGGGUGUGAGGAAAGUCCGGGCUCCGCAGGGCACGAUGCCGGGUAACGCCCGGGCAGCGCCGGUUUAGUCUGGCGUUGACAGCAGCGCAACAGAAAACAAACCGCCGGCUUCUGCCGGUAAGGGUGAAACGGAGGGGUAAGAGCCCACCGCAUAGACGGCAACGGCUAUGGCAUGGCAAGCCUCAUCGGGAGCAAAGUUAAACAGCGGCUGGAUUGCCCGUCCUUAGGCCGCGGGUAGACUGCAAAGACCCCGUUUGCAAAUUCGGGGCAAGAUAGAUGGCGGCAGGGCGCGUUUCCCGCGUCAACAGAAUCCGGCUUAUGGCUCAUCGUUUUUA